rnacentral:lncRNA from 1 species
CUGCAGUGAGUCCCGGCUGCUCUUCUGGUGCUCCAGGCUCAGCCCCCGUGUCAGCACCAUGGCCAGGUCGCUAGCAGCAGGGGACACCUCCUCACCAUGCUUGGCUGCAAUGGUGGCCGGUGACAUUCGGGGUCUGGGAGCAUCCUCGCUGCCCAUGGCUGGGUACACGCUGCUGGCUGAGCCCAUCUCAGCUUCCCGCAGGUGCUCCACACGGUCCUUUCGCCGCUGUAGGGUGCUG